CCUACGGGAGGCAGCAGUAGGGAAUAUUGCUCAAUGGGGGAAACCCUGAAGCAGCAACGCCGCGUGGAGGAUGAAGGUUUUCGGAUUGUAAACUCCUUUUGUUAGAGAAGAUCAUGACGGUAUCCAACGAAUAAGCACCGGCUAAAUCCGGGCCCGCAGCCGCGGUAAUACGGAGGGGGCAAGCGUUACUCGGAAUCACUGGGCGUAAAGAGCGCGUAGGCGGGAUAGCAAGUCAGAUGUGAAAUCCUAUGGCUCAACCAUGGAACUGCAUUUGAAACUGUUAUUCUAGAGUAUGGGAGAGGUAGGUGGAAUUCUUGGUGUAGGGGUGAAAUCCGUAGAGAUAAAGAAGAAUACUCGUGGCGAAGGCGGCCUGCUGGACCAUAACUGACGCUGAUGCGCGAAAGCGUGGGGAGCAAACAGGAUUAGAUACCCCAGUAGUC
rnacentral:rRNA from 1 species